rnacentral:rRNA from 1 species
UACCUGGUUGAUCCUGCCAGUAGUCAUAUGCUUGUCUCAAAGAUUAAGCCAUGCAUGUCUAAGUACAUACUGUUUAUAAAGUGAAACCGCGAAUGGCUCAUUAAAUUACCCUCUCGCGAUGGACCACCUCAUCGUGGUGGGAGGGUGCUAUGUCCCCACUAGGCUAUUGAUCAUUACUGGGUCUUUAGCUGGCGAAUACUAAGUGUCCCUCUGGUUGACCUGAGCCAUAAUAUAGGUAGCAGUCUCGUGCUGCGACCCUGACCAAUGGGUCUCUUAACAUCUUAGAGUUUAUUGGAAGUACUGUGUUGGAAGUACAAUGGUAUGUGUUUCACAGAUACCUGUACGACCCUGACCAAUGGGACCCACCGUGGUAAUUGGUAGUAGUGAUGUUCUACGAAAGCUGACCAGUGUUAACUGGGAGGCGCUAUGAUAUGUAUUUAUUGACUCGUCGUUAUAAACGGCGCAAUGUAAUAUGAAUGGAUUAGGGUCGUAAACCUCUUAAUGCGCACCAGCCUGCUUUAUUCCUUGGAGUUCAGACAUAAGUCCUGCUUGCGGGAUAUUUUUGGCAAAUAAAGAUCGCCGUCGCAAAAAUAACCUUCAAAACUGCUAUUAGCAGCUGGUUCCUGCGGCGGGGUGGAUAUAAAGUGAAACCGCGAAUGGCUCAUUAAAUCAGUUACGGUUCCUCGGAUAUUCUUUUUUACAUGGAUAACUGUGGUAAUUCUAGAGCUAAUACAUGAACAAGUGUUCCAACCUCAGCUUGCUGACGGAAGGAUCGCUGUUUAGGUGGUGCAGAUUUGGACUUUGGCUUGGCAGCAAUUUGUGCAAAAGUUGGUGUCUAAGGACUAGCAGUGGGGAUCUUAGCAACUUCGGUUGCAUUUCUUGUGAUGACUCUGAAUAACUGAGCAAAUCGUAUGGCCUCUGAGCCGACGAUGUAUCCCUCAAGCAACUGCCUUAUCAACUGUCGAUGGUAGGUUAUGCGCCUACCAUGGUUGUAACGGGUAACGGGGAAUUAGGGUUCGAUUCCGGAGAGGGAGCUGAGAAACGGCUACCACAUCUAAGGAAGGCAGCAGGCGCGCAAAUUACACAAUCCCAGUACGGGGAUGUAGUGACGAAAAAUAACAAUACGGGACUCUAUUGAGGCCCCGUAAUUGGAAUGAGUACAAUUUAAAUCCUUUAACGAGGAUCUAUUGGAGGGCAAGUCUGGUGCCAGCAGCCGCGGUAAUUCCAGCUCCAAUAGCGUAUAUUAAAGUUGCUGCGGUUAAAAAGCUCGUAGUUGGAUUUCAGUCGAACCUAUGGGGUCCACUGAUUAAAGGGUUAGAUGGUGAUGUUAGGUUUCUUGCUUGUGUCUACGGAUGCUAGCUUGAACCUUCAUUCCUCUUUCCUGGUGGUUACAUUCAUAGUGUUUAGACAGAAAAUUGCUCGAUAUUUGCUAUCAAUGCUCUUUACCGAGUGUUGAUUCAAGCGAUCGAGACUUUUACCUUGAAAAAAUCAGAGUGCUCAAAGCAGGCGUCCAAAACCUCGAAAGAGGUGCCUAAAAACGGUAUGGUCAACCAUCUAUAUGAUGCGUACCACUACCUUAACUUGAAUGAUCUUGCAUGGAAUAAUGGAAUAGGACCUUGGUUCUAUUUUGUUGGUCUUAAGAAUCCAAGGUAAUGAUUAAGAGGGACAGACGGGGGCAUUUGUAUUGCGGCGCUAGAGGUGAAAUUCUUGGACCGUCGCAAGACAAACUACAGCGAAAGCAUUUGCCAAGAAUGUUUUCAUUAAUCAAGAACGAAAGUUAGAGGUUCGAAGGCGAUCAGAUACCGCCCUAGUUCUAACCAUAAACGAUGCCAACCAGCGAUCAUUCUGAGUAACUAAUUUCAUGACUCGAAUGGAAGCUUCCGGGAAACCAAAGUUUUUGGGUUCCGGGGGAAGUAUGGUGCAAAGCUGAAACUUAAAGGAAUUGACGGAAGGGCACCACCAGGAGUGGAGCUGCGGCUUAAUUUGACUCAACACGGGAAAACUCACCCGGCCCGGACACUGAGAGGAUUGACAGAUUGAGAGCUCUUUCUUGAUUCAGUGGGUGGUGGUGCAUGGCCGUUCUUAGUUGGUGGAGUGAUUUGUCUGGUUAAUUCCGAUAACGAACGAGACUCUAGCCUACUAAAUAGACUUGCAGUUUACACUGCAGUACUCCCCCUUAGUCAACCUGUGGGUGGUAGUAUCUCUUGAUGGUUUCGGCUGUUGAGGGCUCUGCUGCUAUUAGCCUACAGAAUUGGCUAGGGUAAGGAUGCUGUAGCACUGUAAGGACUUCUUAGAGGGACAAGCGGCGCUCGCAGCCGCACGAAACAGAGCAAUAACAGGUCUGUGAUGCCCUUAGAUGUCCGGGGCCGCACGCGUGCUACACUGAAGUGGUCAUCGUGCAUACUGUUUCCUGCUCCGAAAGGAGUGGGUAACCGCUUGAACCCAUUUCGUGAUGGGGAUUGGGCAUUGUAAUUAUUGCCCAUGAACGAGGAAUUCCCAGUAAGCGUGAGUCAUUAGCUUGCGUUGAUUACGUCCCUGCCCUUUGUACACACCGCCCGUCGCUACUACCGAUUGAAUGAUUUAGUGAGGACUUCGGACUGGUCAAUCCAGACCAUUGGGAAACUAGUGGUCGGAUUGUGCUGGAAAGAUGUUCAAACUUGAUCAUUUAGAGGAAGUAAAAGUCGUAACAAGGUUUCCGUAGGUGAACCUGCGGAAGGAUCAUUA